UUUUUUAUUAUUUUUGUAGUAGAAAAAGACUCAUCCACUCAGAAUUUAGAUAAUGAAUUUUGGAUUUCAAUGUGGAAAUUAUUUAUUUACUAAGAUAAUUUUUAUUUAUUUUUUUGUUCUACGUACAUAAAUUCUGCUUGAAAUCCUGCUCUGAUGUAUUCGCAUAGCACCUUUGCUGAAUGGAAAUAUUGUUCAGAAGGUAGUAAUUGAAGAUUCUAUUAAAUUUUCUAUGUGGU